rnacentral:rRNA from 1 species
CACGUAGGGCGCAAGCGUUGUCCGGAAUUAUUGGGCGUAAAGAGCUCGUAGGCGGUCUGUUGCGUCCGCUGUGAAAACUCGGGGCUUAACCCCGAGCCUGCAGUGGAUACGGGCAGACUAGAGGUAGGUAGGGGAGAAUGGAAUUCCCGGUGUAGCGGUGAAAUGCGCAGAUAUCGGGAGGAACACCGGUGGCGAAGGCGGUUCUCUGGGCCUUAACUGACACUCAGGGACGAAAGCUAGGGGAGCGAAUGGG